rnacentral:misc_RNA from 1 species
CACGAACUCGGCUCAUCUGCGUGAUAUCGGCACAGCCAUUUGCACGUACACCCAUACAGGUACAUACAACCGUAACAACGGAAAGCAAGCGCAAGGCACCUGUGGGCAGCUGGUCGCUCGUGUGUGUGUGCGACUCUGUCAGUCUACCUGGCAUGCGCGCAUGCUUCUCUCUGAUUACCUCGUUACGAGCCGCCGCGCCACCCCCACCCCAACUCCUCCUCCUGUCUCUGCCUCGGUGUGGCCCAGUUUUGCGUUGCUGUUCGUAUCGCUUAGCGGCUCGCAAAGCGGGAGCUCUUUUCCUUAUCAGCGCCAUCAUUAGUUUCCGCGGCACAUCCGCUGCACAACCCUGCAGUGCCUUCACCUCCUCUCCUGGUCCACUCUGUGUAUGCGUGUGUGGUGUGUGUCUGCUCUGCAGAAAAAGAAGGAGGCGCUUCUCGGUGUACCUGGGCAUGUGAACUACACGGCGGACGCUGUCAGGCGGCUUCCACCAAAAGAAAGGUCACGAUCACUGCCUUAAUCUUCUUCCAUCCUCCGCCACCAGCUCAGUAGCACCGGAUUAUGUGUGCGUGUGCGCGCGUUGCCCCUGUCCCUUCCCACACGCGCACGCACAUACGCACACCGUUCUCCUUUUCUUCUCUUGCUGGCCCGUUUUUUUUUUUUGGGGGGGGAGGGCAUCGAGCCCCGCCCCUAGCAAAGACGAGCAGACACACAUACCUACGCCAGUGAAGGAAAAUGCAGCAAAGCCACGCCAAUAAUAUGGUUCGCAACACCGCCGCCGCCACCUCCACGGCGCCGUCCGCCAACUGCGCUAGCAGCGACACGCUUUUCCGACUGGAGUGCAUGCUGCUCUUCGCGUUGGAUGUGGUGAGGGGUCCGUACAUCCACAGUUGUGCACCGGCUCACCCGCCAGAGGCGAUUCGGUCUUUCUUGGAAUCCCAGGCGGCGCCUGCCUCGCCUUCUUCCGCGGCUGCUCCCUACUCUGCAGCGGCGGCGGCGGCGAGCCCGGCAGUCGGAGCCGAGCCAGCGCGGCGUGGCUCACUACCACUACCGCCGCCGCCAUCCCCGGACCUGAAAAAGGUCUCCGCGGAGAUGAUAGGCGACGAUACCACAAGGAUGUCCCCAGCUGGAUCCAACUGCGACGCGGCGACGGCGGUGCCGUACACGAAGAUGGCGAAUGCCGCCAUGCACCCAUCACCCUCGUUCGGGGCGUGUAGCAUUGGUGGGGGCGAUGGUGGGCUGGUCGAUGCCUCACCAGCCUUGGAGCUCGGGUCGCUGCAGCACAGCGCUCGCACGCCGCUGCUCAAGGAGCAGCGGCUGUCCCCCUUGUCUCUCGCCAACCGCGCUGGUGCGGCUGCUGGCCUGUCGGCAUCAAUGCUGGGUAACAUAACCGGCGGCGACGUGUGCAGCGUGUCCUUCUCGCCGGUAGCACAGAGUCACCUCGUCGGGCUGCGCGACACUACAGGACAAACCGAGACGCGCGCCCUCGCGGUGGACACCAGCGGUACCAACCACGCCGCCUCCGAGGACAGCGCGGCCUUCUCGUUAUCCCCACAGACGUGUACGAAUGAGUCGCAGCUGACGCCGCCAAGACCGUCGCCGAAGGUGGGCUCGUCUGCGUUGGCAGCAUCUCCGUCGAUCGGUGGUGGGGAUGCGCCAACCGCGGGCAUAAGCCCGGGCGAAUACAGCGGUGAGCCGGCACACACCAAUGCUGGACACUACCGUGACGCCCGCAGCGAAGUAGCACAUGCGUUGGAGCGGAGGACCAACGUGGACAGCGGCACUACCCCAACGCGCAGACUACCUGAGGCACCCGCGGUCACCACGACAACCGACGCGCACUGCUCCAACACAUCCUCGCCGAACGCCACUCCUGUAAGCACGCCGCCCAUGACCACCGCUCCCCCAAGUGCCAGUAUCAACAGAGGCGUAGCCGUCCCAGGAGCGGCCACCGAGAGAUGUGCGGUGACGGAAGGCCAGCAGCAGCUCCCGCACCAUCGCCACCCUCAACACUUGCUGCCUUCCUCUCCCCAGGUGUGGCCAUCACUCCAUCUCACAACCACAGCCGCGACACGUGGCACUCCGUUGCCUCCGACGAGCACCACUGCGGCAACAACCGCAGCGGACAACGGCAGGAUGAGCGGCUACAACGACGUCUUUGUCCCGCGCUCUGAGUUCUGUCGCCGUGUGCUGUGGUUAUACCCCGCUGAAUCGGGGCUGCUCUUCCUCUACUACCCAGAAGACAUUCCCGGUGAGCAUUACCAGCGCAAGACGCUGCGCUACUCCCUGUGUCUUGUCUUCCGCGUCGAUCACAAGCAGAUUACAAUUGGAGAUGGCCUGCUGCAUCAGCUGGUGCACCCAUACAGCGUGGUGCUCACCAAUAUCGCCGAAGAGCUGCGCGAGGCGGAGCUGAAGUAUGCGUACAUGAUUCGCGGGCUGCGCUCCUUCGAUUCAGCGUCGUGGCAGAUGUCGAGACUCGCGCUGAAAUCGCCCAUACCCUCCCUCCCUACUACUGCAACGACCGCAUUUAACGUGGCAGCGCAGUCACCGGUAGCGUCUUUCAUGGCCGGUGCUCACGUCGCAGAGGUUGCCGAGGACGCCGACGAAGGCGUGGGCCAGGCACAUCUGGCAACGCCGCCAGAGCUCCCCUCCAGCGCCCUCCAGAAGCCAUGCACACUCCUCGGCGGUCGUGUUACUGGGCAGGCCGACACAACGGCACCGUCGACGACGACAACGACGGCAGUCGCCAUGACGGCCGGUGCCAUCUUCAAUGCCCCUUCCAGCACAUCAGCGAGCCCUAACUCGUACCAUCCGCCCUUUCUGGAGCACAGCGGCGCAGUGCCGGCUGCGGUAUCGGUAGCAGUAGCAGCGGGCGGGACUAACAGGCUGCACCCCCCGGCGAAGAUGGCGGACCGCACGUCGUCGUCCCUUAUGUCCCCACAGCAACCAGCUGCGCCACCGCUUGGCGACGAGGGGACUGAAGCUCACGGAAGCGCUGAAGCCGCCACGGCUACCAUUUCCGGCGGCUGCAGCUCGCAGCAGUGCGAAGAUAGCGCACGUGUCGCUAAGAGCCGUCGUGAUGGGGACGGUGGGUCGCUGGCAUCGGGCGUACAUGGGUGCGGUGACUCCUCACCGAACGCCAUCACAGCCGCCGCGGCGAGCCACACGGCGCAUGCGUCAUCGUCGCACUGCAGCAUUUCCUUCUCCCCGCCUACCGGAGCCCACAUUGGCUCAAGCGGUGGUUCAACAGCGGCCACCGCCGGUGACAGCGGCAUCCGCUCCUCUUCAUCGUACCUCACCAACAUGGAAUCGUUAGAAAUAGCCAUCACCCCGCCCUCCUCCUCCUCCCUGCCGGUGCGCAGUCGCACUAUAAGUGAGACUGCCGCAACCUUUCAUUUCCCGUUGGCGCAGCCGCGAGCACUAGAGGAGUCGGCGAGCAUGGCAGCCAGCGGCAGCGCCGCCUGCUCGUCGUUCAGCCUCACGGCGGCACCUGCCUCCGUCCCUUAUGUCGCUCUCGGCGGCGCCGUCAAAGCGCACUGCGGCGGAGGCCGUCAGCAGCAGCACUCCAUGGCAGGUGCCAGUGCCGCCACCCCACCGCGUGUUCCCUCUCCCUUCCAGGGCCCGGCUCCCACAACAGCUGUGGCGAGCAUGCACAUCUUGAACGCCUUCAUCACCCCACCCACGGAGCCGAAGUGGACGCCGCUGAGCGAGUUGGUGGACGAGCUCUUCCGCUGCCUAAGUUACACGGAGGCACCCGACGGCAAUGGAGACCGCGAGCGAGACGGGCAGGUCGGCAGUCCGGCCGCGGAUGGACGCACGCCACUGACUGCGUCGCCGACGCCUGCCGGCGCCGCCUUGGGACUAGCUGCACAACAACCAGAGGGUGCGCUCGGUGAGGAAAUGAGCAGCAAAGCCCUGGCGCAGCGCUCAAUUUCUACCACCUCGGCUUCACCUACUGGGCAGCAGCAGCAGCGCGGCGACACGAGUGUUGUGCACCUGUCCAACCGGCUGAGCUUCCAUGUGCGGCGCAUGGCGCCACUGCAGCCGGCGCGCCUCCUCCACUUCGAUCACGUCCCUGUCCCGGUCGUUGCGUACGAUCCUCAGAUGAUGGAGUGGAUGGAUAUGGCUGUCCAUCACGUGUUCCGGUUGGUGGAUGGCGUUCGUACCGUGGCCGAUCUUGUGUUCAGCGUCGCCAUGGGCACCACCACUACGCUCGCGGAGGUGUACGCAGAUGCACUUCAGCGGAGCGUCGCGGAGCAGCAGGCCGCGCCUGUGACAGCGCAAAGUACGACUUCCGCAAGUGCCGGCGCCUCCGCAGCGCAGAGGAGCACCACUGCCCAUCGCGAUCGCGCCCGCGGUGCUGCCGUCAAAGUUGCGGCGCCCCUCUCCGCGCCGGGAACUGCUGCCGCUGCUUCGGCGGCGGCGGCGGUGGUGGAAGUGCAUGGGUCUGGCGAGUCGGCUGCAGAAGCUGCUAAUGUGGCUGGUCGGGGGGCCAGUGCUGCUGGGAGCCCGAGCCAGUCGAUCGUCGUGUCCGUUCCGAUCGAUAUCCAUCCGUGCCCGUCCUUGCUGCCUGGCGUUCGCUACCCCGCCCCAACAUCAGCGGCGGCGGCCAUCAGUGACGGACAGGCGCCGCUACCCAGCCACGUCAACGUGCGCGUCACUCCUGGAGCGGCGAUGGGCGCGGGCGCACCGGAUACCAGCGCCCCUGUGCGCAGCGGCGCUAACGGUCUAGGAACAGCAGUGCCGAUAGCAUCUGGAGUACCCGACGGCAGCAGUGUGACCUAUACCACCGCGUCCUCGCUGUCGCCGCCGCAAAUCUCCGUGGAGCUCCCACAGACGUGGGUGGCGACGGCAGGGAUCGUGAUGGAGGCGCUUCUCCACUUGGAGCUGUGCCACCUGAUCAAGGUGUACCGCCCAUGGACAGAGGGGACGCUCUACAGCACCACCCACAGUGCGCAAAGGGUACUGCGCAGCGUUCACCACCCGGCUCGCCAUGUCCUGGGGCACUAUCUUCUCUGCAUGGCGUGGACAGAGCGGCAGGAGUGGAGGGAGACGCGACGGGCAUCGGUGGCGUCGCGUAUCGCCACGUCUGUCGUCGCGGAGAAGCAGCGCGCCAGCACACCACUGAGAAUGGCUUCCACCCCGCAACAGUCGUCGACAGCCGCGGAGGUCUCUUCACCACCGUCAUCCACAGCACCGGCAACGGCUCUUGCGAUAAUGCCGGCAAGCGGCGUCGGCAGUAGAGCCGCCGCCACCAAGGCCGCCGUCGCCGUGAGGUCGCCCGAUCGCUUGAUGGACCGCAGUGGUUGGUCGCCGCCGGCUUCCCCGCGGCUGCCGUCGUCGGUCCCGUGCGCCUCUGAAAUGCACCGCAGUGGACAGCAACAGCAACUGCCACAUCCGCCUCCACCCCUGACACCAGUCGCGUAUCCCAGGAGCCCCUACAUGCCAUAUUUGCCCCAGAGCGAUUCUGUGCUGAUGGGCGUCGGCGCCGCCCACGCAGGGGGGUUGGACCCGAGCAGUACCGACACACACGUCUCCUCGGCUUCGACGAGCUUGGCGCCAUCGCCGCUACGGCACGCGUUGAGUAUCGGCGCGUCUGGACGGCUGCAGUUGACUCUCAUGAGCUCCCUCCCCACGUUUUCGCUGCAGCGUUCCGGUGCCAGCUCUGGUGGUGCUAUGAGUGGCACCUCGCAGAGGUUUUCUGUGGGGAGCCAAGGCAGCCAAACCUGCGGUGGUGGCCUGCUGCCGUGCGCUGCCACAGGUGUUUCGUACGGCAGGAGUUAUUCGCAGCAGCAGCAGCAGCGAUGGCAUCAGCAUUUCUAUGUACGCGGCUGUUCGCAUGCCGCUCCGCUUCGCUCAUGCAGCAGUACCAGCAGCAGCGAGGACAGCUGCGCCUCUGUGUCACGCAGAUCGUCGUCGUCCGCAUCUUCGUCUGUAAGUAGUGAUAGCGGCCACUCAAGCGUGUCGUCGUCUUCAUCCUCUUCUUCUGCAAACCCAAUGCCGAUAUCCGCCUCGGCCAUGCAGCCGGUGGCCGCGCUGUCGAUUGCGGACGCCAGCGCCGCGCAGACAUCGGCGACGCCGGCAAAGGUCGAGGCGCCGGGUUUAUCUUCUCUGACGCCGGCCCCCGCUGGAGAAAGCAUGCCCGCUCAGGCAAGCAAAGGUGCCGCCGCCGCUGAUGGCGUCUCCCGCUCCGCGCAGCAUCCGCUGAAAUCGCCCAGUGGUGACGGCGCUGCAAUCGAGAGGCCCGCUGCCGAGCCGACCGCUGCGUCUGCGAUCAGGGCGGCAGAGAGCCAAGCUGCGGGGGUCGUGGCUGCCGAAGCGUCGCGACGGCAGAAGCGACGCCGCCGCCGCCCUUCGCUAAAGGUCUUCGCCCCGACGGAAGCGGACGUGAACCGAGCCGCAGCUGCCGCCUUGUGUGCGCUCGCUAAGUUUAACAACGCCAGCGUCUUAUCCGUGCAGGAGGAGAUGCGGCGCAUCCCGGUGUGUGCAACCAGCUUCAACGAUUGGUCCGACCGCUGCGUGAAGGCAUUGGUGGAGGUGGCGGUACUGAACAACUGGUUAGAGGAUGUGUCGUAAUAGCGGUGCAAACAUCGAUAGUGGGGAACGUCAUGCUGAACGGUGAUGAACACGUCUUCUCGUGCGUCGAUAGGGCACCCGUAUCAGGUACGUGUACGUGUUCGUCUGGGUGUGCAAGCGACCAUGAUCUGCGCGUAUUACUCGGGGGAAACGAAAAAAAAAAGAAACACAGAAAGCCAUAAGCGCUAAUCGGAGCAGAGGCGGGGGCGGCAGCGGCCGGCUCAUGAGCUCUUUGGCAGCUGCUGGAAAGUGAUGAUGUGGGCGUCGAUGAGCGUGCG